rnacentral:rRNA from 1 species
AUUGAACGCUGGCGGCAGGCCUAACACAUGCAAGUCGAACGAGUGGCGGACGGGUGAGUAAUGUCUGGGAAACUGCCUGAUGGAGGGGGAUAACUACUGGAAACGGUAGCUAAUACCGCAUACCAUCAGAUGUGCCCAGAUGGGAUUAGCUAGUUGGUGGGGUAACGGCUCACCAAGGCGACGAUCCCUAGCUGGUCUGAGAGGAUGACCAGCCACACUGGAACUGAGGCACUGUCCAGACUCCUACGGGAGGCAGCAGUGGGGAAUAGUGCACAAUGGGCACAAUCCUGAUGCAGCCAAGCCGCGUGUAUGAAGAAGGCCUUCGGGUUGUAAAGUACUUUCAGCGGGAAGGCGUUACCCGAAGAAGAAGCACCGGCUAACUCCGUGCCAGCCGCCGCGGUAAUUC